ensembl:snRNA U6 U6 spliceosomal RNA
AUACUCACAUUGGUAGCACAUAUACUAAAAUUGGAAUGAUACACAGAAAAUUAGCAUGGCCCCUACACAAGGAUGACAUGAAGAUUCAUGAAGUGUUCCAUUUUUUU